GAUGAACGCUGGCGGCGUGCCUAAUACAUGCAAGUCGAGCGAACAGACGAGGAGCUUGCUCCUCUGACGUUAGCGGCGGACGGGUGAGUAACACGUGGAUAACCUCCCUAUAAGACUGGGAUCACUUCGGGAAACCGGCGCUAAUACCGUAUAACAUGUUGAACCGCAUGGUUCAACAGUGAAAGACGGUCUUGCUGUCACUUAUCGAUGGAUCCGCGCCGCAUUAGCUAGUUGGUAAGGUAACGGCUUACCAAGGCUACCAUGCGUAGCCGACCUGCGAGGGGGGUAGGCCGCACGGGAACGGGAACAGGGACCAGGCGACUGAGGGAGGGAGCAGAAGGGAAUGUGACGCAAUGGGGGGAAACAUGGAGGAGCAAGGGCGCGUGAGAGGAAGAAGUGUUGGGAUCGGGAAAAUCUGUUAUUGGGGAAGAACAAAUGUGGAAGGAACUAUGCACGUCUUGACGGUACCGAAUCAGAAAGGCACGGCUAACUACGUG
rnacentral:rRNA from 1 species